rnacentral:rRNA from 1 species
AGUGGCGGACGGGUGAGUAACACGUAAGAAUUUGCCUUUAGGAGGGGGACAACAACUAGAAAUGGUUGCUAAUACCCCAUAUGCUUUCGAGUGAAAUGGAUUUUUCCGCCUAGAGAGAAGCUUGCGGCUGAUUAGCUUGUUGGUGAGGUAAUGGCUCACCAAGGCGACGAUCAGUAUCUGGUUUGAGAGGACGAUCAGACACACUGGAACUGAGACACGGUCCAGACUCCUACGGGAGGCAGCAGUGGGGAAUUUUCCGCAAUGGGCGAAAGCCUGACGGAGCAAUACCGCGUGAGGGAUGACGGCCUAUGGGUUGUAAACCUCUUUUUUCAGGGAGGAAUCAAUGACGUGUACCUGAAGAAUAAGCAUCGGCUAACUCCGUGCCAGCAGCCGCGGUAAGACGGGGGAUGCAAGUGUUAUCCGGAAUCACUGGGCGUAAAGCGUCUGUAGGUGGUCCAGUAAGUCAACUGUUAAAUCUUGAGGCUCAACCUCAAAAUCGCAGUCGAAACUAUUAGACUAGAGUAUAGUAGGGGUAAAGGGAAUUUCCAGUGGAGCGGUGAAAUGCGUAGAGAUUGGAAAGAACACCGAUGGCGAAGGCACUUUACUGGGCUAUUACUAACACUCAGAGACGAAAGCUAGGGUAGCAAAUGGGAUUAGAUACCCCAGUAGUCCUAGCCGUAAACAAUGGAUACUAGAUGUU